UACGUAGGGGGCAAGCGUUGUCCGGAUUUAUUGGGCGUAAAGAGCGUGUAGGCGGCCAUGCAGGUCCGCUGUGAAAACUCGAGGCUCAACCUCGAGAGGUCGGUGGAAACCGCAUGGCUAGAGUCCGGAAGAGGAGAGUGGAAUUCCCGGUGUAGCGGUGAAAUGCGCAGAUAUCGGGAGGAACACCGGUGGCGAAGGCGGUUCUCUGGGCCUGUACUGACGCUGAGGAGCGAAAGCGUGGGGAGCGAACAGG
rnacentral:rRNA from 1 species